rnacentral:rRNA from 1 species
AACGAGGCGAACCGGGGGAACUGAAACAUCUAAGUACCCCGAGGAAAAGAAAUCAACCGAGAUUCCCCCAGUAGCGGCGAGCGAACGGGGAGCAGCCCGGAGUCUGAAUCAGCUUGUGUGUUAGUGGAAGCGUCUGGAAAGUCGCAGGGUACAGGGUGAUACUCCCGUACACUAAAACGCACAGGUUGUGAACUCGAAGAGUAGGGCGGGACACGUGGUAUCCUGUCUGAAUAUGGGGGGACCAUCCUCCAAGGCUAAAUACUCCUGACUGACCGAUAGUGAACCAGUACCGUGAGGGAAAGGCGAAAAGAACCCCGGCGAGGGGAGUGAAAAAGAACCUGAAACCGUGUACGUACAAGCAGUAGGAGCCC